rnacentral:rRNA from 1 species
UACGGAGGGAGCUAGCGUUGUUCGGAAUUACUGGGCGUAAAGCGCACGUAGGCGGCUUUUUAAGUCAGGGGUGAAAUCCCGGGGCUCAACCCCGGAACUGCCCUUGAAACUGGAAAGCUAGAAUCUUGGAGAGGCGAGUGGAAUUCCGAGUGUAGAGGUGAAAUCCGUAGAUAUUCGGAAGAACACCAGUGGCGAAGGCGACUCGCUGGACAAGUAUUGACGCUGAGGUGCGAAAGCGUGGGGAGCAAACAGG